AUCUUAACAGCAAAAAUAUCAAGAUACCAAACAGAAGAAUUCAAGGAUCGUAUAUAUACCUGUAUAGAUAAGAUGAAUCAGAGAUCAGAGUAUAUCACCAAGAUCAAUCAUUGCACUGAUACAUAUGCACUUUGAACUUGGAUGAAAAUUAUAACAUUUUUCAAGAAAAAAAGGUUAAGAUUUCCAAAUUAAAAGGACCACAAAACUUUCAUAUGUGUCUUUCAGUAGUUGACAUUAGAAGCAAAGGAUUCAUGUGGCAUCCACCUAAGGGACUGUGUGGGUUGUCUUGCAACCAAGAUAAAUAGUGCCACUGUACUUCAUAAUCACAGAUCUUUCCAUAUUAUUAGUAUUAUUUAUUCCUUUUCUCAUAAUACGCAAACGACGAAUAAAUAGAUACACUUUACUAUAAGGCUGCGUUCUCUUUGUGGGAAAAGGGUGGAAAACAGAUAAUUUCCCUCAUUUUCCAUCCUUUUCAUGUGUUCUCUUUGUUAGUAAAUUUUCCCCGGGCAGGAGGGAAAAUUUUCCCGGGCAGCCCUUUUAUCCCACAUUUUCAUCCCAAAUCAUGAUAAUAUUAUCAUGACCUAUAGGUAUGAUAAAAUUUUCCCAUGAUGUCUAUUUUCUUGAUCUUCCAAUUUUGCCCUUAACAAAUCUGCAAUUUGACAAUUUUGUCCUACCACAAAACCCCCAGAUUUCUCGCUUUUUCCAUCCCCAAAUCUAGCAUCCAUUUCUUUGGCGAUUCUCUCGACUCACCGCGAUUCUCUCAACUCACCAUGGAAGAUGUAGGAGAUCGCCGAUUUGUUUCAAGCAUCCAUUUCUGAGGUAGUGUGACCGGCGAUUCGCUCCUCCAUACUUGUCUAUUGCACUCAUUAUUCUGGUAUUUUCCGAAUUUGCGAUUUCGUUCGUGUGUUUGCUGGUUUGUGAUGAUAUUAGGGUUUCAAAAUUUCAGUUUCCUGAUUAUUUACGAAACAAUAGAUAAGAGGAAUCUGCUUCUUGCCAGCCAAAUUAACAAUCCAUAAAAGCUGUAGUAUUUGCGAUGUAUUAGAAAUUAAAUGGAGUUGUCUAUUUGGGGCAUUUGUGAAAGUAACUCCUGUAAUUAAGAGUGAGGUCAACUGUUUAAUCAAAAUAAUUAAUAAGAGUGAGCCAAUACUAGCAAUUAGAAGAAAUCUCAAUUUUGAUUGUGUUCGUCCCAAUAAGUGAAAGUGGAAAACAUGGCUCUGUUUUUGCUUCACUUCUUAUAAAAUUCGAAUUAAUAAGCUUUUUUGAGCUUAAGACCACAUUAUGUUUCUUACAUUUCCACAAAAUCAUAUUACCUCCAAUAAAAGACAGAGAAUAAUAACAGAGAAAUAUUCAUUUCGAGCUUACUUCAAUUUUUUCAUGUAGCUAAGAUAUGCCUAGUUGUGCAGAGUUUAAAAUCCAUUUUUAUUUGCGAUUGGUAAGAAGAAUUUAAGGGGAACUAGAACGUUCUACCAAUAUUGUUUUGCCCAAAGGAAACUAAAAUGCUUUAGCAAUAUUUCUUCUGUCAUUAUUUCCAUUAUAAUUAGUGUGGUUUGUAAAGAAAACGUAUUUGUGUGAAACUCACCACAUCUUAUGUUUGUUGGUUUCAAUAUUCUGCAUGCAUGAUUGGCGAUAUUUGACAAUAUAAGAUGAUAACUCAAUGAAUGCUAUCAACUUAGAUGGUAUACUUAUGUCCUCACUACUGCCACUCUUCAUGUCUGUUUAUUGGAUUAAAACUGUUUUGCUUUCUCUACGUUGCCAUGUUCUUCAGUGAGUUUUUGUACAUCCUUGAGUACUUUAGCUCCAUUUGACUCGUGACUAUCGGAGGGUAGUGGUCAUAGUUCAUAACUGCACAUGCUUUCAAUACAAUGUCAUGACCAAUGGUUCUUCAUUUGUUGAUUUUAGCUCAUCAGUAGUAAAGAUUCUUGCAUGGUUAGGCUGAAUGUUUCAGUUUUUCUGUGGCAGUGUGCAUCUGCAGUUGAUAAUUUGGCUGCUUUUUAUUUCAACAACAUCACCACGGGGGAGGCCCCUACAUCACCAGCCGCAGUUAAUCUUGCGAGGCAUAUUGCAGAGUGCCCAGCCCUGCUCCCUGAAGUAAGUUUUGGAUUAUUUUAAUUAGUCUAAGCUUUUGGUUUGGGUCGCUGUAACAUUUCCAAACCUAUUGUGAAUCCAGUGCAGUUGCUUAAGUAAAUACUUUCUCAUAGUGACUGUAAUCUCGAUAAUUCUGCCCUGAAGUUGGGUCUGGGAUGGGUGAUUUUCUAUUUGAGGAAAUUCAAAUUUUCUGUUUAAGCUUCUCAUUUCAUUUAGAAAAGGUUCUUCCUGUUACUUUUAAGUUUGCUGUCUCACCAAAGGUCUAUUAGUUCUGUAAAUGUCCAGCUCAUUAAGUUUUUGAUAUUAUGUACAUAUUUUCCUAUGUAUUGACCUUUUAUCAUACAUAAAUUGUAUUGUAUUGUGAAAUUGUGUGUUAGUAAUUAAUAUUGAAUUGUAUUAUAUUGUGAAAACAGCAAAGCACAUAUCAUGGACGAUAGAAGACACAAGACUUUGGUUAUUAUAGCCCUUCUCCUUAUACGCAGAUGCCUUCUUGUUCUUAUGAUGAUGGGUCACCAUUAUUAUAAAAACAUUUUACCUAGUAAAAGAGCUUCUGGUAGGCGGCGCUUAAAGUAUAAAAUUAUUGAUAAGAUCCCUAAACAAGUGGAGUAUUUGCAUCGAGUUAUAUCAGCUGAUGAUUUGACUUGUGUUAACAAAAUACGAAUGUCCAAAGAUGUCUUCAGUAGGUUAUGCUAUCUUUUAGAACAAGCUGGAGGUCUAGUUCCAACCAAACAUGUAGGGGUUGAGGAGAAAGUUGCAUCUUUUUUGGUAAUCUUAGCACACCACAGUAAGAACCGCAUUGUAAAGUUCGAUUUUAGACGCUCGGGAAACACCAUAAGUCUUAGUUUCCAUUCAGUAUUACAUGCUUUAUUGCGUCUCCAUCAUCUCUUGUUAGUAAACCCAGUGCCCGUGCCCGAAGAUGAAACAAGUGAACAAUGGAGGCCUUUUAAGGUACUUAUACUAAUGUAAUUUAAACAAUUAUUUUACUAAUUCUGCCCAUAAUAGUACAUGCUAAUUAUAUAGAAUUUUUAGGGAUGCUUAGGUGCUUUAGAUGGUACGUACAUACCAGUUACAGUACCACUUUCUGAUGCCCCUCGUUAUAGAAAUAGAAAAGGAUUCGUAUCUGUAAAUGUCUUGGGAGUUUGUGAUCGUGAUUUGAAGUUUGUCCACAUGCUAAGUGGAUGGGAAGGAUCUGCAUCCGAUGCCCGUAUCCUCCGUGAUGCAAUCACAAAGCAAUUUGGCUUAAAAGUGCCUCAAGGUUGUAUAUUGAUAAACUUCAUUUUGGUUGUACUCUAGUCAAAAGUUAAUAUUCAUAAUAUUAUGUUUAUGUAGGUAACUAUUACUUGGUUGAUGGAGGAUACGCUAAUAGUAACGGGUUCCUUGCUCCUUAUAGAAGUAUACGCUAUCACUUGAAAGAGUGGGAAUCUGGACACCUUGCCCCUCAAAAUUACAAAGAAUACUUCAACAUGAAACACUCUAAAGCAAGAAAUAUUGUGGAGAGAGCAUUUGGUUUGCUAAAAAAAAGAUGGGCCAUACUACGUUCUCCAUCCUUCUAUCCAAUCAAAACACAAAACCAAAUUAUAUUAGCUUGUGGGUUGCUUCACAAUUUCAUUCGCACCCACAUGACUAUUGAUCCAAUUGAAGAAGAUGUGGAAGUAGAGAAUGAAGAAGGAUCCACGGAAUUUAUUGACAACAUAGCAUCCACUACAACAUGGAAUGAGUGGAGAGAUGAACUUGCGACCACAAUGUAUGAGGAUUGGAUGGGAAAUCGAAGAUAGUUAUUGUAGACUACUCAUAUUUUGGAUAUGUAAAACUUUUGGAUAUGUUAUUAUGACUAUAUUUGCUUAGUAAACAGAUUUCAGUUGCUGCUCCAUAUUUAUUCCAUUGUAAUUCCUAUAUAUAUUAAUAUUAUAUGUGAUUCUACCUCUUGGACCUUGAUUCUCUCUGCAGUUUUGGGAGAACUUCUUAUUUGUUGUAUCCAGAUAUUCAUUGAGUCAUUAUAUACCACUAAGGCCAAUAGUCAUACUAGUAUGUUGUAUAUUUGUAUAGUUUACAGUGCUACGGUAUGUUUGCUUGUAGAGACUUUAUUAUUUGCAUAAAGAUGGUUGUAUCAUAUGGGGUACACCAAAUAGCUUGAUAGUUCUUGUAUGUAUCUUACUUUCUAAAGGUUUUGUUUCUUAAGGCUUGCUAUUCUAUUUUUAUCUGCCAUGAAAUUCAAGAUUUGCAUCUAUGCAGGGGAAAAAGCACCUUAGAAAAUUGCCAAGUGUUGCAGGUAAUAUCUGCCUUCUUCAUAAACUUCAUGCUGACUGUUGGGAGAUCUUCUUUAUUGUUGGGAGAACUUAUUAUUUGUUGUAUCCAGAUAUCCAGAAAGGAAAAAAGAUGGGCAAAACUAGAAGGUCUUGGAGCUCUGAAGAAAAAAUAGCAUUAGUGGAUGCACUAAAGCUUAGCGUCAUCAAAGGUUGGCGAGGGGAAAAUGGAUUCAGAACUGGGCAUCAUCUUUUUCUUGAGGAUCAAAUGAAGGUGGCCAUUCCGGGAAUUACACUUGUUGCGGAACCCCACAUAAAAUCAAUGGUUCACGUGUGGAAGAGGCAAUAUAGUUUCUUGUCGGGACUUAUAUCAAAGAGUGGAAAUAGCUGGAACCCUAUUCAAAAAAAGGUUGAAUGCACAAAAGAAUCUUGGGAUGAAAUGUGCAAGGUAAUCAUUCUUUGAUCUUUGUCUUUCUCUUCAUGCCAUUUUCAUGCACUUUUUAGGAUAGUUGCAGUCCUUUGGGAUGAAAACUUGAGGUUAUUUGGAAUGCAAAAUGACUUUAAAUAGCUGGAAUCAUAGAGUUAUUUGGAAUGCAAAAUGACUUUAAAUAGCUGGAAUCAUAGAGCUCCUGCUCCUUAUCAGUCCAGUCCAGCAUGACUUUUACCUUACUAUGCAUUUUUGUUCAUCAAUGUUCUUUACUCUUAUCUAUGAAAUUUUUAUUGUAUCAAGGGCUAUACACCAAUGAGGAACAAGAUGGAUGACCCUUGGCCAUUUUAUGAAGAUUGGAUUGAAUAUUGGCAAAGAUAGGGCCACAGGUGAUAAUUCCAUCAACUUUGGUGAAGCUGCAAAUGGCGUUUUGAACAAUGUGAAUGAAGCUUUGAGCAAGGACAAUGUGAAUGAAGCUUUGAACCAGGACACUGUGAAUGAAGCUCUAAACAUCAAUGCAGAGAUUAGUGAGUUUAAUGAGACAGAUCUCAAUAAGGUAAAUGAAGACUUUCUACCAACAGGAGAUGAUUGUGAUACUGCAAGUGGAAGUGGCUCAAACCUUGUAAGAAAGAAGCGUAAAGCCGUGAGUUCAAUAUGUGAAGAUGCUUUUGUGGAAGUAGUCUCAAACUUUGUAAAAAAAACAGAUGAGACUCUUGUUCAAAUGGUUCAAAGUUUGGCCCCUGAAAAGGAUGACAAAACUGCACGUCAAUCUCUGUUUGAAGCGUUGGACAUGUUUCCCAUUCUAACUAUGAGUGCUAAGGUUGCAAUAGGGAGAAAACUUGCAAAAGACAAGGAAGAAUUGGAAUUCUUCCUUAGCCUCCCUCACGAAGCGCGGCUGGAAUUUGUCAUUCAAAUGAGUCGGGAGUUGUAAGUACUAUUGCAUUAGAAAUUUUAUUUUUGUGAAAGUUUUAUGCUUUUUGAAUGACUUGAACCGGGAGCUAAGAACUUGGUGUUUUUCAGCUUGAAAUUGUAAGUACUAUUUACAUAUUUUACAGCUUGUGAAAGUCUAUCUUGGAGGGAGAUAUGAAUUUCAGUUUAACACUAUUGUAUUGCCUCGAUCAUUUCUCACCAUAGUAUUAUUUUGUUUCUAAUUUUUUCAGUUUUGAUUUCCAGUUUUGUAAUGCAGAUGGGAUUUUAUGGGAAAUCUCAUGAUUUUGGUAUGAAUACAAAAAAUUAGAAUGCAGAUGGGCUUUUAUGGGAAAUCUCAUGAUUUUUAUGAUUUUGGUAUUUGAUAUGUAGAGCUUGUUUUAAAACUUGCCUAAUUAAUUCAUUACUUGCGUCAUUUUUUUUCUCAUGAACAUUUCGAUUAUUUGGUUUAUUUGUGACUUCCAUUAAAUUAAUUCAUGCAAUUUUAUAAUAUUUUAUUGUAGUUUUGUGAUUGUUGGGUAUUACAUUUGAAUGUCCAUAAAAAUAAUUAAAUAAGAACGUAAAAACCAAAAAAAAAAGAAAGAAAGAAAAAAAAUGAAUUUGUGAAUUAUAUCUACUUGUUGAUUUGUGAAACAAAAGCAUAAACAACAAUGCAAAUUGAAAGUUCCGUCUUUUUACUAAAAAAAACAAGCAAAUUGAAAAUAUUGAAUAAAAUAAUUAAGUAAAUAAUAAGGGUAAUAUAGUCAUUUAACAAUUUAUCCAUCAUUUUCCAACAAAGAAAACAUGUGUAUAGGAUAAAUGAAGUAUAGGAUAAAAAAAAAUUCCAUCAAAGAGAACAUGAGAUAACAAGAGUGGAAAUGAUAAAAUUUUCCAACCUUUUCAUUUCCUCCAUUUUCUCAUGAUAAUUUUACAACCAAAGAGAACGCACCCUAAGAAAACACUGUUACGUAUACCGUGGGAGGAAGUUCCAAUUUAUUACCUCCAUAGUGGCGCACAAAAUUUGAGAUAGCAAGCUUAUUAACAGACGAAGCGAGAAUCAAAACUAACCUCAACCGGCCUUCGAAGAGGGGAGGCGGCGACCGGAAAAAAGACUAAGAGGAGCGGUGAAGCGCGGCGGACCGGAGGCUCACAGCGGCGGCGAGGUUGUAUGCGAUGGGGCGGAAGGAUGGGUUUGAGUUAGUUGUGAGGAGAUAAUUGAUUGAGUUGGAGAAGAAUUAGAACUUUAAUUAAUUUUUAUUUAUAUUUAGAGUUUAGUUUAGUUAGUACAUAAGAUAAAGAUUUUGAUAUAUAUAAAUAUAAACGGAAUUAGAGUGAACUUCUUCCAUAGAUAAGUAUAU
rnacentral:lncRNA from 1 species